CUACGGGGCGCUCCAGUGAGGAAUAUUGCACAAUGGGGGGAACCCUGAUGCAGCAACGCCGCGUGGAGGAUGACGCAUUUCGGUGUGUAAACUCCUUUUAUAUGUCAAGAAAAUGACGGUAGCAUAUGAAUAAGCACCGGCUAACUCCGUGCCAGCAGCCGCGGUAAUACGGAGGGUGCAAGCGUUACUCGGAAUCACUGGGCGUAAAGGAAGCGUAGGCGGGUUGGAAAGUCAGGUGUGAAAUCCUACAGCUUAACUGUAGAACUGCACUUGAAACUUCUAAUCUAGAGUAUGGGAGGGGGAGAUGGAAUUAGUGGUGUAGGGGUAAAAUCCGUAGAUAUCACUAGGAGUACCUAAAGCGAAGGCGAUCUCCUGGAACAUUACUGACGCUAAGGCGUGAAAGCGUGGGGAGCAAACAGGAUUAGAUACCCGGGUAGUC
rnacentral:rRNA from 1 species